GGUGAGGAACCUUUAAGCCAGACAGGUGAGCCGGGGUGGUGAGGAACCUUUAAGCCAGACAGGUGAGCCGGGGUGGUGAGGAACCUUUAAGCCAGACAGGUGAGCCGGGGUGGUGAGGAACCUUUAAGCCAGACAGGUGAGCCGGGGUGGUGAGGAACCUUUAAGCCAGACAGGUGAGCCGGGGUGGUGAGGAACCUUUAAGCCAGACAGGUGAGCCGGGGUGGUGAGGAACCUUUAAGCCAGACAGGUGAGCCGAGGUGGUGAGGAGCCUUUAAGCCAGACAGGUGAGCCGAGGUGGUGAGGAACCUUUAAGCCAGACAGGUGAGCCGGGGUGGUGAGGAACCUUUAAACCAGACAGGUGAGCCGGGGUGGUGAGGAACCUUUAAGCCAGACAGGUGAGCCGGGGUGGUGAGGAGCCUUUAAGCCAGACAGGUGAGCCGGGGUGGUGAGGAACCUUUAAGCCAGACAGGUGAGCCGGGGUGGUGAGGAGCCUUUAAGCCAGACAGGUGAGCCGGGGUGGUGAGGAACCUUUAAGCCAGACAGGUGAGCCGGGGUGGUGAGGAACCUUUAAGCCAGACAGGUGAGCCGGGGUGGUGAGGAGAGGAGGAUGGUGUGCCGCUCCUCAUCCCCUCUCAAAAUAGAGAUGGCUAUUGAUACAGUGCCCCCCCAUAUUUCUACAGUGCUACUACAUACUCUAGUUCCCUUGACUCUCUUCUUGGCCUCCACACUCCCCCAGUCUCUGUUCUUCUAUCUGAAUGUGUCCUGUCUACCUAAUGCUCUACUGACUUAUCCAAGACUGUUCUAUCCCUACUUCUCUAAUCUUCCUAGCUAGCGCCUUGCUUUUUUCAUACAUAAAAUGAUGCCCGGUUGUUUUAAAAUCACUGAUUUAAUGAAUUGUCUGCAUCGGGACAUUUUCAACAAACAUUUAGUUGAUGUGGCGAAAGCUUCCCAUUCCAGUGAUAUUGAGUCGACUAGCAUUGGCCGUGGGAAGCCAUUUGAGUUACUCCUCACAUAGACUGAUGUGAUAUGGUAGCACGUUACAUGGAGUGACUAUAUUGUGUUAAACUUUUACUAUGGGUUUGCCAUAUCUUGUUGAUUUAUGAAGUUUUCCAGUGAUUUCUCAGUUUCCCGUUGUUAGACCUACUUCACCCUAAUUUGAAGUGGGAAAUGUGUGUUGAUUUGAUUUGGUGCGUCUGAACCCUAUCUUCUAUCACUUCCUUCCCUGCUUGGCUAAUCUCGUACGACUGUGAAUCUUGGUUUUAUAUAUUAUGUACAGUACAAUCUGUAUCAAAUUACUUAGAACUUUCCUGAUGAUUCAUGUUAAAGGGUUUUCUUUAGUGUGA